GAUGAAGAACGUAGCGAAAUGCGAUAAGUAGUGUGAAUUGCAGAAUUCAGUGAAUCAUCGAAUCUUUGAACGCACAUUGCGCCCCUUGGUAUUCCAUGGGGCAUGCCUGUUCGAGCGUCAUUUGUACCUUCAAGCUCUGCUUGGUGUUGGGUGUUUGUCCUUGCUCUAGUGGCGGACUCGCCUUAAAGUAAUUGGCAGCCAGUGUUUUGGUUUUGAAGCGCAGCACAAGUCGCGAUUCAAGUCUAUACGCUAGUUUCCACAAGUCUUUUAUCACUUUUGACCUCGGAUCAGGUAGGGAUACCCGCUGAACUUAAGCAUAUCAAUAAGCGGAGGA
rnacentral:misc_RNA from 1 species